rnacentral:rRNA from 1 species
UACGUAGGGUGCGAGCGUUUAAUCGGAAUUACUGGGCGUAAAGCGUGCGCAGGCGGUUUUGUAAGCCAGAUGUGAAAUCCCCGGGCUUAACCUGGGAAUGGCAUUUGGGACUGCAAGGCUUGAGUGCGGCAGAGGAGACUGGAAUUCCUGGUGUAGCAGUGAAAUGCGUAGAUAUCAGGAGGAACACCGGUGGCGAAGGCGGGUCUCUGGGCCGAUACUGACGCUGAGGAGCGAAAGCGUGGGGGAGCGAACAGG